AAUGCCGCGUGAGUGAAGAAGGCCUUCGGGUUGUAAAGCUCUUUUGUCAGGGAAGAAACGGUGCGUUCUAAUAUCUCGUGCUAAUGACGGUACCUGAAGAAUAAGCACCGGCUAACUACGUGCCAGCAGCCGCGGUAAUACGUAGGGUGCAAGCGUUAAUCGGAAUUACUGGGCGUAAAGCGUGCGCAGGCGGUUUUGUAAGUCUGUCGUGAAAUCCCCGGGCUCAACCUGGGAAUGGCGAUGGUGACUGUAAGGCUAGAGUUUGUCAGAGGGGGGUAGAAUUCCACGUGUAGCAGUGAAAUGCGUAGAUAUGUGGAGGAAUACCGAUGGCGAAGGCAGCCCCCUGGGUUAAAACUGACGCUCAUGCACGAAAGCGUGGGGAGCAAACAGGAUUAGAUACCCUGGUAGUCCACGCCCUAAACGAUGUCUACUAGUUGUCGGGUUUUAAUUAACUUGGUAACGCAGCUAACGCGUGAAGUAGACCGCCUGGGGAGUACGGUCGCAAGAUUAAAACUCAAAGGAAUUGACGGGGACCCGCACAAGCGGUGGAUGAUGUGGAUUAAUUCGAUGCAACGCGAAAAACCUUACCUACCCUUGACAUGGAUGGAAUCCCGGAGAGAUUUG
rnacentral:rRNA from 1 species